rnacentral:rRNA from 1 species
CUGUUGCCUCGGCGGGAUCUCUGCCCCGGGUGCGUCGCAGCCCCGGACCAAGGCGCCCGCCGGAGGACCAACCAAAACUCUUAUUGUAUACCCCCUCGCGGGUUUUUUACUAUCUGAGCCAUCUCGGCGCCCCUCGUGGGCGUUUCGAAAAUGAAUCAAAACUUUCAACAACGGAUCUCUUGGUUCUGGCAUCGAUGAAGAACGCAGCGAAAUGCGAUAAGUAAUGUGAAUUGCAGAAUUCAGUGAAUCAUCGAAUCUUUGAACGCACAUUGCGCCCGCCAGUAUUCUGGCGGGCAUGCCUGUCCGAGCGUCAUUUCAACCCUCGAACCCCUCCGGGGGGUCGGCGUUGGGGAUCGGCCCUUUACGGGGCCGGCCCCGAAAUACAGUGGCGGUCUCGCCGCAGCCUCUCCUGCGCAGUAGUUUGCACACUCGCAUCGGGAGCGCGGCGCGUCCACAGCCGUUAAACACCCCAAACUUCUGAAAUGUUGACCUCGGAUCAGGUAGGAAUACCCGCUGAACUUAAGCAUAUCAAUAAGCGGA